rnacentral:rRNA from 1 species
GACGAACGCUGGCGGCGUGCUUAACACAUGCAAGUCGAACGAAGUGGAGAACGGGUGAGUAACGCGUAAUCAACCUGCCCUUCAGAGGGGGACAACAGUUGGAAACGACUGCUAAUACCGCAUACUGAAGGAGGGGAUGACGUCUGAUUAGCUAGUUGGAGGGGUAACGGCCCACCAAGGCGCUGCUCAGUAGCCUGUCUUGGAGGAUGAAGGGCCAAAAUGGGAAUGGGGAAAGGCCCAGCCCCCGUCGGGAGGCAGCCGGGAGGAAUCUUCCGGAAUGGACGAAAGUCUGAUGGAGCAACGCCGCGUGAGUGAAGAAGGCCUUCGGGUUGUAAAGCUGUGUUAAUCGGGAAGCGGUACCGAAAUAGAAAGCCACGGCUAACUACGUGCCAGCAGCCGCGGUAAUAC